rnacentral:lncRNA from 1 species
GAUGUGCUGUUUUGGCCCAGCAGUGGUUUCAUGUUCUAUCAUGUGGUUGCUAUAUAUAUAUAUAGUGGGGCGAAAGUCUAUUUCGAAAGAGAGACAAAAGAACGUCUAUUAAAAGGAGAUGCAAUAGUAUGUUUGCUCAAGAAAAAAUGGAGAUGCGAUUGUAUGUUUACUUUGACAAACAAGAUGUGGAACUGAGUUAAAUAAAAUUCACAGAAAAAGAAGAGAGAGAGUUAAAUAAAACAUGAUUUUAUAGACAAACCAAAUGUCAGACGCUUCGCAAGAUACUAGUAUACCGAAAGACCCACAAAGUAGACGUUCUACCAAUUUUAAUUAACAAUUAUGGCACAUCUGUACCUAUUUCCAGUUAUCCACAUCGUAUCUUUGUUUUCUUUGUGAUGAUAUCGUAUCUUAUCAAUAUCCAAC